GAUGAACGCUGGCGGCGUGCCUAAUACAUGCAAGUCGAGCGGAAGGACGAGACGCUUGCGUCUCUGAUGUUAGCGGCGGACGGGAGUGUAACACGUGGAUACCCUACCUAUCAGACUGGGAUCACUUCGGGAAAGCGGCGCUAAUCCCGGAUAAUCUUUUGCACCGUAUGGGUCAAAGGUAAGAGACGGUCUUGCUGUAACUACUCGCUGGAUCCCAGCUGCAUUAGCUAGUUGGUAAGGUAAAGGCUUACCAAGGGAACGCUGCCUAAACGAGCGGCGAGGGGGAUAGGCCACACGGGAACUGAGCCACGGUCCAGACGCCUACGGGAGGCAGCAGUAGGGAAUCUUCCGCAAUGGUCGAAAGCCUGACGGAGCAACGCCGCGCGAGUGAUGAAGGUCUUCGGAGCGUAAAACUCUGUUAUUAGGGAAGAACAGAUGUGUAAGUAACUGUGCAGAUCGUGACGGUACCUAAUCAGAAAGCCACGGCUAACUACGUG
rnacentral:rRNA from 1 species